rnacentral:rRNA from 1 species
UACGGGGGGUGCAAGCGUUAUCCGGAUUCACUGGGUUUAAAGGGAGCGUAGGUGGCCUUAUAAGUCAGUGGUGAAAUCUCUGGGCUUAACCCAGAAAUUGCCAUUGAUACUGUAGGGCUUGAGUAUAGUUGCCGUUGGCGGAAUAUGACAUGUAGUGGUGAAAUACAUAGAGAUGUCAUAGAACACCGAUUGCGAAGGCAGCUGACGAAACUAUAACUGACACUGAGGCUCGAAAGUGCGGGGAUCAAACAGG